CAAUAGCACUGACACUUAAAGUUAAGUGUUUUCUUGCUUGGUCUUAGCACUCUAGCCAAAUGGAUUUUGAGGGCCUCCUAUUCAUGGGUCACAGCUGCUUGACUCAAGGAUUUUUGCCUAUGCAUGCCCUGACAGUCAGAUACUAACUCACUUGGAUGCCUGCCUCUCACACUGCUCUACUUUAUGAAGUCAAGACCAUUAAUAAAAUCCAGUUUACAGAAAGGCCUAGAGAAGGUUAUUUCUCUGAACACUUCGCUGUACCUACUUCCAUAACAGAUGAACUUACCAGAUGUAACAGAAGCGGUUCUUCUGUUCUCGUGGAAGAUGAAGUUGUCCUUUGUUUUGAUGAGUCCUGAAGGACUUAAAGGCUCCACUGGCAGACAGCAGAGAAGGGGAGAAGAGGAGAAGCAGCUGGACAUUGAAGACUCUGGUUUGACAUAAGAGAGAAGCAGCUUCACUUCAGAGGGACAACUUGACAUUGGGACAUCAGGGGAAGAAUGCCUUCUUCCUACUCCAUCCCCUUUCCAGCUCCCCCUCUCACUGAGAGCCACUUCCAUCAGCAAUAAAAUCCCCCACAUUUACUAUCCUUGAAUUUGUGCAACCUGGUUUUUCCUGGACACCAGACAAGAGCUUGGGAUACAGAAAACUGUCACACUAACCAUCUGCCCUCAUGAAAAGGCAGAGGGUCCACUGAGCUAUUAAACACUGAAGCUGUCUGCAGACAGCAAAGCUAAAAGAGCACUGUAACACACUCCCUCUGGUGCUUCAGGGGUAACAGGUAGUCCCGUAGACACCGCCAUCAGGCUACACGGAGUUUUGCUCCUUCCAGUACCCAAAAGCACUCACUCCAGCUUCUGCACCUGCUCACCUGCAUGCUCCCCCUCCCACGAGGGGUUGAAAGCUGCGGGCUGAGUAAGUGAGGCACCCCUGUCACAAGGCUUGAGAAGG
rnacentral:lncRNA from 1 species